CCGGCGCACGGGUGAGUAACGCGUACCGAACCUGCCCAUCACACAGGGAUAGGCUUGCGAAAGCAAGAUUAAUACCUGAUGGUCUCAGUUGUAUGCAUGUAUAAUUGAGUAAAGCCUUCGAGCGGUGAUGGAUGGCGGUGCGUCCCAUUAGGAAGUUGGCGGGGUAACGGCCCACCAAUCCUUCGAUGGGUAGGGGUUCUGAGAGGAAGGUCCCCCACAUUGGAACUGAGAUACGGUCCAA
rnacentral:rRNA from 1 species